rnacentral:tRNA from 1 species
GGAGGGUUAGCAUAAUGGUAAUGCACCGGUCUUGAAAACCGGCGCCCGCAAGGGCUUGGGGGUUCGAGUCCCUCACCCUCCGCCA